rnacentral:rRNA from 1 species
CCUACGGGUGGCAGCAGUGGGGAAUAUUGGACAAUGGGCGAAAGCCUGAUCCAGCCAUGCCGCGUGUGUGAAGAAGGCCUUCGGGUUGUAAAGCACUUUCAGUGGGGAAGAAAGCCUUGGGGCUAAUACCCUCGAGGAAGGACAUUACCCACAGAAGCAGCACCGGCUAACUCCGUGCCAGCAGCCGCGGUAAUACGGAGGGUGCGAGCGUUAAUCGGAAUUACUGGGCGUAAAGCGCGCGUAGGCGGUCUGAUAAGCCGGUUGUGAAAGCCCCGGGCUCAACCUGGGAACGGCAUCCGGAACUGUCAGGCUAGAGUGCAGGAGAGGAAGGUAGAAUUCCCGGUGUAGCGGUGAAAUGCGUAGAGAUCGGGAGGAAUACCAGUGGCGAAGGCGGCCUUCUGGACUGACACUGACGCUGAGGUGCGAAAGCGUGGGUAGCAAACAGGAUUAGAUACCCCUGUAGUC